UCCUACGGGAGGCAGCAGUAGGGAAUCUUCCGCAAUGGACGAAAGUCUGACGGAGCAACGCCGCGUGAGUGAUGAAGGCUUUCGGGUCGUAAAACUCUGUUGUUAGGGAAGAACAAGUGCUAGUUGAAUAAGCUGGCACCUUGACGGUACCUAACCAGAAAGCCACGGCUAACUACGUGCCAGCAGCCGCGGUAAUACGUAGGUGGCAAGCGUUAUCCGGAAUUAUUGGGCGUAAAGCGCGCGCAGGUGGUUUCUUAAGUCUGAUGUGAAAGCCCACGGCUCAACCGUGGAGGGUCAUUGGAAACUGGGAGACUUGAGUGCAGAAGAGGAAAGUGGAAUUCCAUGUGUAGCGGUGAAAUGCGUAGAGAUAUGGAGGAACACCAGUGGCGAAGGCGACUUUCUGGUCUGUAACUGACACUGAGGCGCGAAAGCGUGGGGAGCGAACAGGAUUAGAUACCCUGGUAGUCCACGCCGUAAACGAUGAGUGCUAAGUGUUAGGGGGUUUCCGCCCCUUAGUGCUGCAGCUAACGCAUUAAGCACUCCGCCUGGGGAGUACGGUCGCAAGACUGAAACUCAAAUGAA
rnacentral:rRNA from 1 species